UGUCUUCUACUUGAUGAUAGAGGGAGGAUGAUUCUCUUCUAGGCUGGAAUUUUUUCCCCUCAUCCGUUGCUUCUCUCCUUAGUCUCUCAUUGACUGGGAGGAGCUUUGUAAGCAGAAGGCUUGGUAUCAGCAGGCCUGUUGCAGACCUUCGUUAUAAUUAAGCAGAGCUCUGUGAGGAACAGAUAUUUUGUGCCAUCCGUACUCUGAAUGCUGACCUUAACCCUGUCGUUAUUCUCUUCCCCAGAAUAAAGUUGUGACUUCCUGCAGACUCUGAAACCAACCAGAUACCCCUAGGCACCCCGUACCUUUACAUUUUUUUUUAACAAGUUCGGUUUGUAUCAGGAUAGCCUCAGGAUUUUGGGCUGCUCUUGCUCCCUGUUCUGGGUCCUCGGAGGUGUUGGUUUGUGCAGCACAGCUUGUGUCUGUUCCUGAUCUCACGUUAGCCUGUUUUCUGUAAGGCAACUCACUGCAGCUGCUCUAUUUCUAGCUGAGGGGAAGUUAAUCCUUUGUUUCCCAUCUCAGUUCACAGUGUAAUUUAAUAAUCUUUAGAGAUCAGGAUAGGGAUUCUUCCCUCCCUGAUGGAGGGGGAAGAGCUUGCUGUUUGGGUUGCCAAAAAAAGCCCCCUGUUCCAGCUUUCUAGUACCGCAAGGCUUCCUCUUUGUUUAGGCAUCUUCAGCAAAGUAGAGCACUGUACCAGUUCAUACUGCAACCUUGAUGGCUUCACUGCCAACACCACGGAGCAGCUUUCAUCUGAUGAAAGAUGAGGCAGGAUCUCUUCUUUCUUCUGUCUCUCUUUAAGUGGCCUGUUUUGACUAAGCAAGUCAUUUCACUAAGCCCAAUAGCUGUGUUGGUCCAACAAAUUGUUUUGGUGUGUACCUUCUAGGUCAAAAAAUAUUCUUCCUUCUCCAGGAGGAUGGACUGCUGUCGGUGUUACUGGGAGACGGCACAUUGGACUUGUCUUCAAAGCUCACAGGACAACAGCACAAAAAUAAGCGAUGUGUGCUCAGCCACACUUUGCAGUUUGUCAUCUGCUUUUCUAAGUAACUUCAGAAAUAAAAAACAGAGUGCCCUUGUGUUGGAAUCAAAGUCAGAAGGCUUGUAGGUGCGGGUGAAGUAUUUGGAGGUCAGAUGAUAGUGCUGUGAAAUAGGAGACACAAUUCUGUAUCAAACACCUUCAGUGUGAAGUGAGAUCACAACCCUCGGUGCAGGUGGGAAGCAAUUGCUGUGAGGUCUGUUGCAGUGGGGGGAGAACAUUAAAGUUAUUUCCUGUGGGGCAGAGAGACAAGUUACCUUCACCAUUGAAUGUGGACAUAGCAUAACCGUGGGGAUGGAGGAAACUAAUGGGUAAUAAAGCCACGUUCACUUUUGAGUCA
rnacentral:lncRNA from 1 species